AAGCCCCGGCGCCUUUAUUGGGCGCUUAUACGAAUUUGCAMUUCAUGUUUUCUCGGGG
rnacentral:tRNA from 1 species